UACAGAGGUCUCAAGCGUUGUUCGGAUUCAUUGGGCGUAAAGGGUGCGUAGGUGGCGGGGCAAGUUUGGUGUGAAAUCCCGGGGCUCAACCUCGGAACUGCACUGAAUACUGCCUUGCUAGAGCACUGGAGAGGGAACUGGAAUUACGGUGUAGCAGUGAAAUGCGUAGAUAUUGGGAAGAACACCGGUGGCGAAGGCGGCUCUCUGGACCGAUACUGACGCUGAGGCGCGAAAGCGUGGGGAGCAAACAGGG
rnacentral:rRNA from 1 species